UACGUAGGCGGUUUUUUAAGUCAGGUGUGAAAGCGUGAGGCUUAACCUCAUUAAGCACUUGAAACUGGAAGACUUGAGUGAAGGAGAGGAAAGUGGAAUUCCUAGUGUAGCGGUGAAAUGCGUAGAUAUUAGGAGGAAUACCAGUGGCGAAGGCGACUUUCUGGACUGCAACUGACACUGAGGCACGAAAGCGUGGGGAGCAAACAGGA
rnacentral:rRNA from 1 species